rnacentral:rRNA from 1 species
AUUGAACGCUGGCGGCAGGCCUAACACAUGCAAGUCGAGCGGUAGAGAGGUGCUUGCAUCUCUUGAGAGCGGCGGACGGGUGAGUAAUGCCUAGGAAUCUGCCUGUGGUGGGGGAUAACGUUCGGAAACGGACGCUAAUACCGCAUACGUCCUACGGGNGAAAGCGGGGGAUCUUCGGACCUCGCGCCAUUAGAUGAGCCUAGGUCGGAUUAGCUAGUUGGUGAGGUAAUGGGCUCACCAAGGCGACGAUCCGUAACUGGUCUGAGAGGAUGAUCAGUCACACUGGAACUGAGACACGGUCCAGACUCCUACGGGAGGCAGCAGUGGGGAAUAUUGGACAAUGGGCGAAAGCCUGAUCCAGCCAUGCCGCGUGUGUGAAGAAGGUCUUUCGGAUUGUAAAGCACUUUAAGUUGGGAGGAA